CAAAUACCAGCCUCAUCAUGUACUUGCUGUGUGACCUUGGCAAGUUAUCUGAAGUCUCUGAGCCCAAGCUCUCACCUCUAUGGGAACUCUAAAAGAUGCUGCCACGGCAACACGAACUACCUACUGACCCUGAACUUGCAGCACGUCUUCCUGCUCCAGUGCCUUCCCUCAUGCUGUUCCCUGUGCUUCUCACUGAUGGCACCACAUUCUCCAAUUCUCCCGGUAUCUGCUGCACAAAUAGACCCUAGCCCAUCCUUCAACCUGCAGAACAGCACUCAGCCUGUAAAAGCUGGAGAGUUCCGACACAGACACACAGCCAAGUCAGCAUGAAAGCCCCAUUUUGCAGGUGGAAAAAUAUGCAGAUGGAGAGCAGUGGAGAAAGGCUGUAACAAGAAAUCAAAGACGUAAGAGAAAUUUAAAGAUGGAAAGAGAGCUUCCUGACGACAUCAUCAGUG